GACGUAGGGCGCGAGCGUUGUCCGGAUUUAUUGGGCGUAAAGAGCUCGUAGGCGGCUUGUCGCGUCGGCUGCGAAAUCCCGAGGCUCAACCUCGGGUCUGCAGUCGAUACGAGCAAACUAGAGUGUUGCAGGGGAGACUGGAAUUCCUGGUGUAGCGGUGAAAUGCGCAGAUAUCAGGAGGAACACCGGUGGCGAAGGCGGGUCUCUGGGCAACAACUGACGCUGAGGAGCGAAAGCGUGGGGAGCGAACAGG
rnacentral:rRNA from 1 species